AAUUCGCCCUUAGAGUUUGAUCAUGGCUCAGAUUGAACGCUGGCGGCAGGCCUAACACAUGCAAGUCGAACGGUAACAGGAAGCAGCUUGCUGCUUCGCUGACGAGUGGCGGACGGGUGAGUAAUGUCUGGGAAGCUGCCUGAUGGAGGGGGAUAACUACUGGAAACGGUAGCUAAUACCGCAUAAUGUCGCAAGACCAAAGAGGGGGACCUUCGGGCCUCUUGCCAUCGGAUGUGCCCAGAUGGGAUUAGCUUGUUGGUGGGGUAACGGCUCACCAAGGCGACGAUCCCUAGCUGGUCUGAGAGGAUGACCAGCCACACUGGAACUGAGACACGGUCCAGACUCCUACGGGAGGCAGCAGUGGGGAAUAUUGCACAAUGGGCGCAAGCCUGAUGCAGCCAUGCCGCGUGUAUGAAGAAGGCCUUCGGGUUGUAAAGUCCUUUCAGCGGGGAGGAAGGGAGUAAAGUUAAUACCUUGCUCA
rnacentral:rRNA from 1 species